rnacentral:rRNA from 1 species
GGGGAUGUGGUCAGCCUCGUCUGUGUCCUUUAUUCCGUAGAUGGAGAUUCCUCAGCUAGAAUCAGUCUUAGUCGGGAGUAGUGCAGCUGACCUAGAUGACGAGCACACAGAGUGAGCUGCAGCUAUUGACUCACACGGGAAACUACCAGUCCAGACAUAGUAAGGAUUGACAGAUUGAUAGCUCUUCUGAUCUAUGAGUGAGUGGUGCAUGGCCGUCCUUAGUUGGUGGAGUGAUUUGUCUGGUUAAUUCCGAUAACGAACGAGACCUUUAACCUGCUAACUAGUCUAUUACAUUUCAUGUAAUUUGACUUCUUAGAGGGACUAUGUAUAUCAAGGGGCAUGGAAGUUUGAGGCAAUAACAAGAUCUGUGAUGCCCUUAUAUGUCCUGGGCUGCCCGCGUGCUACACUGAUGCAUACAACAAGUGCCUAGCUAGACAUAGUAUGGCAAUCUGGAAUAUGACAUCGUGAUGGGGAUAGAUCUUUGCAAUUAUAGAUCUUGAACGAGGAAUUCCUAGUAAGUGCAAGUCAUCAUCUUGCAUUGAUUAUGUCCCUGCCCUUUGUACACACCGCCCGUCGCUCCUACCGAUACCGGUGAUCCGGUGAACCUUUGGACCUCGCAAGAGGAAAAUGUCCCAUGGUAUCGAGCCGGCUCUCCUCGGGUCC